UCCCUGGUGGCUCAGAGGUUAAAGCCUCUGCCUGCAGUGUGGGAGACUCAGGUUCAAUCCCUGGGUCGGGGAG
rfam:Ovis aries breed Texel chromosome 4, whole genome shotgun sequence.